rnacentral:snRNA from 1 species
GUGCUCACACUGGCAGCACAUAUACGAAAUUUGGAACGGUGCAGAGAAGAUCAGCGUGGCCUCUGCUCAAGGGACAACACGCAAAUUCGUGAAGUGUUCCGCAUAUUA